UUAGAAUUAUAUGGGAUCACUGAUGAUGCAUUGGAGAGGUUUUAGCUGAGGACUGUAGGUGAUGGCCAGUGGCUGAGGUACAACCGCAUUUGCUCCAACCCCUCAGACAGAGACCAACACCUACAAGAUCUUCACCAAGCAUUCCUGGACAACGAUCCCUCGCUUUCACAGGCCUUGGGAGGCAGGCCAGUCCUCGCCCACAGACAACCUGCCAAGCUUAAGCAUAUUCUCACCAGCAACCACACACCGCACCAUAGAAACUCUAACUCAGGAACCAAUCCAUGCAACAAAUCUCGAUGCCAACUCUGCCCACAUAUCUACACCAGCGACACCAUCACAGGACCUAACCAGAUCAGCCACAACAUCACCGGUUCAUUCACCUGCACGUCCACCAAUGUAAUAUACGCCAUCAUGUGCCAGCAAUGCCCCUCUGCUAUGUACAUCCGCCAAACUGGACAGUCCCUAUGUAAAAGGAUAAAUGGACACAAGUCAGAUAUUAGGAAUGGCAAUAUACAAAAACCUGUAGGAGAACACUUCAGUCUCCCUGGACACACAAUAGCAGAUUUAAAGGUAGCCAUCCUGCAGCAAAAAAACAUCAGGACCAGACUUCAAAGAGAAACUCCUGAGCUUCAGUUCAUUUGCAAAUUUGACACCAUCAGCUCAGGAUUAAACAAAGACUGUGAAUGGCUAGCCAACUACAAAAGCAGUUUCUCCUCCCUUGGUGUUCACACCUCAACUGCUAGAAGAGGGCCUCAUCCUCCCUGAUUGAACUAACCUCGUUAUCUCUAGACUGAUUCUUGCCUGCAUAUUUAUACCUGCCUCUGGAAAUUUCCACUACAUGCAUCUGACGAAGUGAGUAUUCACCCACGAAAGCUUAUGCUCCAAUAUGUCUGUUAGUUUAUAAGGUGCCACAGGACUCUUUGUCGCUUUUUACAGAUCCAGACUAACACGGCUACCCCUCUGAUACUGUUUGUAAAAAUCUCCAAUGACAGAAAUUCCACAACAUCCCUAGUAAUUUGUUCCAGUGCUUAACCACCCUGACAGUUAGGAAGUUUUUCCUAAUGUCCAACCUAAAU
rnacentral:lncRNA from 1 species